AUGCAGUCGACGAUGAAGCACCAGCUUGCUGGUGUGGAUUAGUGGCGAACGGGUGAGUAACACGUGAGUAACCUGCCCCUCACUCUGGGAUAAGCCUGGGAAACUGGGUCUAAUACUGGAUACGACCGAUCUCCGCAUGGAGUGUUGGUGGAAAGUUUUUGUGGUGGGGGAUGGACUCGCGGCCUAUCAGCUUGUUGGUGGGGUAAUGGCCUACCAAGGCGACGACGGGUAGCCGGCCUGAGAGGGCGACCGGCCACACUGGGACUGAGACACGGCCCAGACUCCUACGGGAGGCAGCAGUGGGGAAUAUUGCACAAUGGGCGAAAGCCUGAUGCAGCGACGCCGCGUGAGGGAUGACGGCCUUCGGGUUGUAAACCUCUUUCACCAGGGACGAAGCUAACGUGACGGUACCUGGAGAAGAAGCACCGGCUAACUACNUGCCAGCAGCCGCGGUAAUACGUAGGGUGCGAGCGUUGUCCGGAAUUAUUGGGCGUAAAGAGCUUGUAGGCGGUUUGUCGCGUCUGCUGUGAAAGACCGGGGCUUAACUCCGGUUCUGCAGUGGGUACGGGCAGACUAGAGUGUGGUAGGGGAGACUGGAAUUCCUGGUGUAGCGGUGAAAUGCGCAGAUAUCAGGAGGAACACCGAUGGCGAAGGCAGGUCUCUGGGCCAUUACUGACGCUGAGAAGCGAAAGCAUGGGGAGCG
rnacentral:rRNA from 1 species